GUAUUUGUUUUCCCUGUGUCUGGUCGGUUUCACUUGUGACUGUUUCAACUAGAACCCAAAGCAUGGAAACUGAGCGUUUUGAUGAGUGAGCACAGCCUUGACCCAAGGAAACGCACUGCUUGGGUUAUGUUUGGAAAUAAGAGAGACGUGACCCCGUCUCUCGUGACCAGGGCCUCUGGGUUUGGCGGUGCACGCGAGCGCACUUAGAAGGCCCUUCCUUGUGGAUCAGGAUGGGGAGCCGUCCUCGCCCAGCCCCUCGGUAAUGACUGCUGUGUCCCGCAGUGUCCCUUGUCUGUGAGUGGGGUGCCUGGGGACGGGGACCGCCCGGAAAGAGCACACUGUUUAUACCGUCCAGGAAUGCACAAGCCAAAAUUAAAGCCUCUCCUUGGAGGAUUUUAAUCCCAGGAGUUUGAGGAGCGUCUGAGACAUUGGCGGUAAAGAGUCCUGUAGGUAGCCCAGGACCCAGCAGGCCUUUUCACUGUCCCUUUGACCCACCUUCUUCUGCCCUAGAUGGUGGGGACUCGUGAUGGUGACCAUUUGAAGGCGGGGUGACGAUGUAGAAAGAGCAAGGCUGCUGUUCGGCCAGCGCGUCGCACUGGUGGACACACGGGUGCUGGACCAUCACGUCCUUCCACUCUCUCAGAUGAGCGGUCCUCCUCAGACCCCUCGGGAGCCCACACCCCUCUGGGCGUCCUGGCUGCUUCAUCACCUGCAGGGGUAACACCUGCUUUGUUGGGAGAAGGGCACCUGCAGGACCCGUGUCUGUUCACAUCGGUCAGUGCCGUCUGUUCAGUUUGCUCAUAUCGGUCAGUGCCGUCUGUUAAGUUUGCUCAGUGUCGUCUCUGAUCAGGGGUGUGGGGGUAACCGCCAGGACAUCCCUGGUCCCAGUCCCACCUCUGCCACUGAGUGUCCUCGAGACCUGGAGGUACCGCCCCACGUCUUGCCUCCUCUGUAAUAUCCUGCACAUGUUAACAGUGAUCACAGCAUCGUGGGCUCGUUUGCAAGACUAAGUGAUGAGAAAAGCAUAUGACAAGAGUCCCAGUUCCGCAGCAUAUCAUGGGUCCAUCUGAAAAGGUAGCUUUUAUUUAUUUAUUUAUCUUUAGGGCCGCACUCACGGCCUAUGGAGGUUCCCAGGCUAGGGGUUGAAUUGGAGCUGUAGCCACUGGCCUGUGCCACAGCCACAGCCACGCCAGAUCCGAGCCACGUCUGCACCUGACACCAUAGCUCACGGCCACGCCAGAUCCUUAACCCAAUGCGUGGAGGCCAGGGAUGGAACCUGCAUCCUCAUGGAUGCUCCGCAGAUUGGUUUCUGCGGAGCCACGACGGGAACUCCAGAAAAGGUAGCUUUUAAAUUGUAUGACAGGUUCCCCCUGAGAAGAGGCAGCUUCACGCAUGAACUCCUGUGUCUGAAAAGUCUCAGAACUUUCCCCAAAGAGGGAAGGGAAGGACGGUGGGAAGUGGAGGCCAAGGACCCUCGGAGCAGGGGCGGAGGAUCACGGGAAACGGGAUGAACUUUGGCAAAUGAAGAUGCUGAGCAGGUGCGUUUUUUCUCCCUUUCCGUUGGCUUCGUUGCUUCAAGUGGCAAAGCAGGUGUCACGUUUGUGGACAACUCUGUUCACUUUUAAGGCUCGGUUUAUUUCAUGGGGAUUUGGAACAAAGAAAAAUCAAUGCGAUGGUCGGCUUUGGGAGGCAGUUGAGAAAGGACAGGCCUCCAUGGGACUCUUGGACAUUAAUCAGGAGCCUCUGAAGUUUACUCAGCCUGGAAUUCUAAAAAAAGAUUAGUUAGGCAGUAGUUUACCUUAGACCGUUACGAGAUGGACUUUAGCCAAAACAGACUGUCAAGCCCGGCAGAAAAGUUGGGGGAAGGGAUUAUUUUUAGCCUUCUAAAAAGAGCUUUAAUAUUCCCAUGAGUUUUGUUACUUAUUGACACUGAAGUGAUGGGGUACAAUUUUCAACUUUGUAAAAACCCUUCAGUUUCACCCUGUUUUGUUUUUGUUUUGUUUUUUAAUAACCAUCCCUGUGGCAUAUAGAAGUUCCCAGGCUAGGGGUCAAAUCGGAGCUGCAGCUGCUGGCCUACGCCACAGCCAUGCCCCAUCCGAGCUGCAUCUGCAAACCACACCACAGCUCACGGAAACGCCAGAUCCUUAACCCACUGAGUGAGGCCAGGGAUCAAACCUGCGUCCUCACGGAUCCUAGUCAGGUUCUUAACCCACUGAGUCACAAGGGGAACUCCUAUUCACUUUUUCAUUAAAUUCCAAUUCAGCAGCUACUACUGUACCUAGAUUUAAGGUAGUGGGGCCAGGACUUGAAUGUAAGCUUAGCAGGGCAGCCCCAGUGAUGGUCAGUUCUUACUGGUCUUCACCCACACUGACGAGUGCCGACCUGUACCCAGUAGCAUCUCGUGCACCUCAGAGUGUGUGACUCCUGGGGCCAGGCCUGGGAGGAGAUUGAAGCUUCCACCCUUCUGUCUCUGGGAUCAUUCCCUCUGAGAAGCCAGCUGCCGAGCUUGGAGGACGCUCAGGCCGUCCUCUGGGGAGGACCUGAGGCCACGUGCUGAGCCACCUUGGGAGCUGGUCCCCUGUCCUCGCCAGGCCCUCACGGGACUGCUGAUCCCGCUCUCAUCUUGACUCGAACGACAGACCCUGAGCCCGAACCACCAAGCUAAACCGCUUCCCAGUUUCUGACCCACACAAACGGUGUGAGAUAACAAAUGCUUAAAAUCAUUUCUACCCACUUAGUUUGGGGAUAGUUAUGCAGCAAUAGGUAACUAAUACAGUUGGAAAAGCAGUCUUUAGCUGGCCGUUCAGAGUCCAGACGUGGACUGUUUAUUCAGUGCUACUUAGUUCCAAAUGAAUGCAAAGUGAGUUAAAUUUUAGGUCCCCAGCUAGAGUGAGGUUUGCGUUGGGGUACAUGACCCCAUCCGACACCGUCCACUGCUCCUGGACCUCUUCCCUAAUCAGCCUGGGAUGGGAUGUGUUCAUAUGGCAACGACCGUCCAGAACCCUGGCUGCGAGAGCAGGUUGAGACGGCUGAUUCUCCGGAUGGCUGAGGUUUAACCCUUUCAUGAAUUGGUGGGUUCCUCCUUUUCGAGCACCAUAUUGUGCAUAUAUUUAAAUUGAUUUCAGUGUGUGUGACUCUGAAAUGUAUCACCUGCUCCCCUGACUUCUCAAGCAGAAUACACUGGCCGCCUCGGUGACCCUGCACUGCCGUUACUGUGAGGUCUCAGGGGCGACUCUGAGGUGCCAGCAGCCUGGGGUGCAGACACACCCGGUAGGGGACGAUGUGGACAUGGCUUGGUCCCUGCAGCCGCCCUGGACGCCUUCUCUGCGGCCUCUCCAAGCCGCUCUCUGCGCCUCACCCCUGACAGGAGAACGCAAACGACCUCGCGUGCAUUAGAGCCCGUGCUGUGUUCGACCCUCUGCUGAAGGGCCCGGCGGCUGCCCUCUAACCUCUGCCCGUCUUCUCCCUCCUUCCCGGGGCUCCCUGAUUCGUAUUUAACUAACAUUUAAUACACAUUAAUGCUAAAGUUUAUUUUUAAACCAAUUCCUAGUUUCAUUAACUUUGUUUUGAAAGGAAAUUUUCCACACCGUCGUAAAAGGGAAAUCAAUAUGAUUUUGCCAAUAGAAAGAUAAGACUAAGCGUAUAUGCCAUGAAUAUCGCUGGUAUUUGCUCUUAGUCUUCUCAUAAGACUAAGAGGAGUAUCGCAUUCAUUCCUCGUAGCUCUUAUCGCCAGAGAAGAUUCUAGGCCCAAGGCCUGUCUUCUCUUCUUGAACAUGAGACUAGCAACUUGCAGAGAGAUGCUGAAAAGCAACUCAAAACCAAACCAAGAUGCCUUUCAAUUGGAAGGGAUUGAUCAAGAAAAAAGGCAGGACUGUCUCAUCAAAAUGGGUCCCUGUGGGGUCUGGGAGCCGUCUCUGCUCAUCCAUGGUUUGGUAGGCUGGAUCCCAGCCUUGGAUCUGAAGCCAGCCUCCCCCAUUGGUGGUUCCAGUGUCUUUAGACGUCUGGGCAGCAUUCCAAGCACAGCUCUGCGUGGGACUGUCAACUCUGGGUACAAUCUUCUUAGCUUCCCUCCCCCUGUUCCGUAGCUUCGGGAUGAAGAGCUCUGUCUUUGGUUCACAUCCUGUCUCUCGUCCUCACGGCGUGAUUCUGAGUUAGUUGAGCAAAUGGACAUGACACUGUAUGUUGAUCAGGUUAUUUUGAGGGUCAAGGGUGGUGACGUUGGAAGACAGUGGCCUUCACUGCGAGCAGGAUUCAUCUGAGUGGCCGCAAGUGUAGCACUGACCCUUUGAAGAUUCUGUGUUCAGGUUUCGGGGAAAGAAUCUCCUUCCCUUUCAAGAAACAUUCCGCUUUUAAGACAGUACAAGUUGUCUGUUGUUGCCAACCGAACAUUCCUGGCUGAUCUGAGUACCUUCUGGAAUGAGAACAUCCAUGAUGCUUAGUGCUGAUGGAGGGAAAAUAAUGUGAGCAAGCGUUAGAACAGGUUAAUCAUCUGGGAAGCCUUUUCAUGUAAAUGCCAAGGUAUUUUGAAGGAGGGCAUGGUAGGAAAUUUCUCGGUGCCAGGCUCCUUGAAAAAUGAAUUCCUCAGGGUACCUUGACGGUCCCUAAAGAGGCAGGCAGGGGAUGCAGAUCCUGUUCUGCUCUCUUCCUAAUGGACAGGCUCCCUUUUUCCCUUUGUAUCGCUCCCUGCUUCUUCCUUCUUCACUCCCGUUAAGAGUGGAGCCCCUCAGGAGAAGCUAAACCAGCGAGCGUUGGAUUCCUGAGCCUCUCACACACUGUGCCACCCGGGAGCGGUUGGGUGGGGGGGGCUGGUAUGUGAGGUACCACCCGAGGGCCUCAAAGAGUCUGCAGUGACCCUCCCCCCGGUCCCCGUCCUGUGGACAAGGAAAUGGAGAGUCUCGGGGAAGCCAUCCCCUCAAAGGGACAGAGCUGGACUGGAACCUCCUGCGUUUCCUUUUGGUGCUGGAACACGUGGGCACCGACACGAGUGGUUUAUUAAGACAACAGCCCUGAGUUCCCAAGUCUGAAACGUAUCUGAUGGAGCUGAAAUCAAGUGGGGGCAGAAGUGGUUCCAUCUGGAGGCUUUAGGGGGAAACCGUUCCUUCCAUCUUCCAGAUUCGGAAGAUUCUUGACUCGCGGCCACACCCCUGCCAUCUCUGCCUCUGCCUUCACAUCCCCUCUCUAACUCUGCCCUCCUACCUCCCCCGUGUAGCCUCCCCCCGUGAUUACCCGGACACCCCUGCAUGGUUCAGGAUAAUCUCCGUAGCUCAGGAUCGUUACCUUGACCCCGUAUGCAAAGCCCGUCUGGCCAUGCGCGCAUCACCGUCAUGGUUUCUAGGGACUGGGACCUGGCCGCCUUUGGCAGGGACGCCUCUCAGCGUAUCAGCCACCACCCUCCUCCCAGCCUCAGGUCAGAAAGAGCUGCCGACAGCACUCUGGGGGCCUGGCGUCUGCAUCUCCGCGCCAAGGACAGGGAGGUGUCCUUGUCUUUGGCCACCAGCCAGGAUCCUGGACUCAGGGUCCGACAGCUCGUUGCAGACUCCCAGGUCCAGGGGAUGCACUUGGCCUGUGCUGGACAUGAGACGCUGAGCUGUGGUUCCCUGUGUGCAGGGAACGCAUGAUGGGCUCGUGACAGCACGGGGUUAUUUCUUGUUCUGUUCCCAUCACGGUGGUUACACUUUCUUGGCUGUUCGAAAAAAGGUUUUCAGCCUGUGUUUAUAACAUCGCCGCCCAAGAGGUGGACAGACCCAGCUUUUCCGGACUUGGUUUGUAGUAAGCCAUUAGCAGAUCAGGUCAGAAAGAACAGUCUUUGGGAGUUUGACCUGCUUGUCUUUAUUAAUCUGUUUGGAUUUUCUUGGCCCGUUGCCCCACAAGUUUGAAAGACGCAGUGAGCUUUCAGGAGAACUCUUCAGCAUGUAGAUUUUUUGUGUGUGGUUUUGUGUACUUGUCUGAUGCCCUCCUGACCCCAAGGCAAGGACUCACGCCGCUUGUCAUUGGGGAGAAAUGUGUACUGAUUCCAUCUGGGGCUGGUCUGUUUCUCCCGCUCUUCAUUCAGCUCCCCUGGAGUUUCUGUGCGAUUUGUGCUGGGCUCACGGCUCUUGACCUCAGGACUCUCACUGGUCCAGAUGAGAUUGCUUUGUUUGGAACAGCUGAUGCUCCUGGGUUCCUUGUGACAUCUGGGUCACGCCUGUUUAGUCUGACACGAAACACCCAUGGGUUUCGGAAACCUCCGUGGGUUUUGGAAAUCUCAUUUGCGGGCCACUGCAGGUGAUCUUGAAAAUCCCCCAUUCCUUGUUGGGUUUAGGUCCUAACCCCUUGGUGUGAGGAGGAAGAUCACUGUCAGCAGGUUAGGAGGGAACUCGUGCAAUAAAGCCAGCCCAGGGUGGACUGACUUGCAAUGAGGUCAUCACCACUUUAUAUCUGGGUGCAUGUGUCCAUGUGCGUGUGAGAGAGAGAGAGAGAAAGGCGAGUGUGUAAGUGGUAGAGGAGGCAACAAUCUAAAAAAGAUCAGAAAACCCCUACAAGGAAGAUGAAUAUGUAUAUAUUCAUAUAUAUAUAAAACGUCUGACUGGGUUGCUUUGCUGUACAGUGGAAAUUGCCCAAACACUGUAAAUCAACUGUAAUGGAAAAAAUAAAAA
rnacentral:lncRNA from 1 species